rnacentral:rRNA from 1 species
UACGGGGGAUGUAAGUGUUAUCCGGAAUCACUGGGCGUAAAGCGUCUGCAGGUGGUUUCCUAAGUCCACUGUUAAACCUUGAGGCUCAACCUCAAAUCUGCAUUGGAAACUAGGAGACUUGAGUAUAGUAGGGGUAGAGGGAAUUUCCAGUGGAGCGGUGAAAUGCGUAGAUAUUGGAAAGAACACCGAUGGCGAAGGCACUCUACUGGGCUAUUACUGACACUCAGAGACGAAAGCUAGGGGAGCAAAUGGG